CUUGAAAGAACAAUUCAUAUGGGGAAAAAACAAAAAAUAAAAAACAAAAAAACAACCCAGAACAGCAAAAGCAAUAAUGUAUAAUAAAAGAACUUCUGAAGGUAUCACCAUCUCUGAUCUCAAGCUAUACUAAAGAGCAAUAGUGAUAAAAAAAAAAAAACCUGCAUGGUAUUGGUACAGAAACAGACAGGUUGAUCAAUGGAAUUGAAUCAAAGACCCUCAAAUAAACUAUCAUACCUAUAGACACUUGAUUUUCGACAAAGAAGCUAAAAUCAUACUUUGGGGGAAAAAAGAAAGUAUCUUCAACAAAUGGUGCUGGUUUAACUGGCAGUCUGCAUGUAGAAGAAUGUAAACAGACCCAUACUUAUCACCCGACCCAAAACUCAAGAUCUCAACAUAAAACCAGACACACUAAAUCUAGCAGAACAGAAAGUGGGGAGUAGCCCUGAACACAUUGGCACAGGAGACAACUUCCUGAACAGCACACCAAUGGCUCAGGCUCUAAGAUCAACAAUUGGUAAAUGGGACCUCAUGAAACUGCAAGCUUUUGUAAAGCAAAGGACACUGUCAAUAGGACAAUCCAGCAGUCUACAAGUUGGGAAGCGAACUUCUCUAACCCUACAUCCUACAGAGGGCUUAUAUCCAAAAUACAUAAAGAACUCAAGAAGUUAGACACCAUCAAACCAAAUAACUAAAUUUUAGAAGCGGGGUACAGAGCUAAACAGAAAAUUCUCAAUAGAGGAAUCUUAAAUAGAUGAGAAGUGCUUCAAGAACUGUUCAAUAUCCUUAGUCAUCAGAGACUGCAAAUCAAAUGACUCUGAGGUCCCAUCUUAUACCCGUCAGAAUGCCUAAGAUCAAAAUCUCAGGUGACAGCACAUGUUGGUGAGGAUGUAGAGCAACAGGAACACUCAUCCAUUGCUGGUGGGGGUGCAAAAUUGUGUGAUCACUUUGGAAACCAAUUUGGCAGUGUCUCAGAAUAUUGAGAAUAGUUCUAUCUAAAGACCCAGCUAUACCUUUCCUGGGCAUAUACCCAAAAGAUGCCCCGCUAUACCACAGGGACACUGGCUCAACAAUGUUCAUAGCAGCUUUAUUUGUAAUAGCCAGAAACUGGUAACAACCUAGAUAUCCCUUCAUUGAAGAAUAGAUAAAGAAAAUGCGGUAUAUCUACACAAUGAAAUACUAUUCAGUUAUUAAAGCAAAGACAUCAUAAAAUUUGCAAGCAAUGAAUAGAACUUGAGAAUAUCAUCCUGAGUGAGGUAAUUCAGACCUAGAAAGAUAAGCAUGGUAUGCACUCACCACUUUUAAUUGGACAUCAGCCAUAAAGUGCAGGAUUACCAUGCUAUAAUCCACAGACCCAAUGAAACUGGGUAAUAAGGAGGGCCUAAAGAAAGAUGUCUGAAUCUCACUCAGAAGGAGAAACAAAACAGUCAUCAAAAGUGGUUGGAGAGCAGAAACAGGGUGGAAGAGAAGAUGAGGAGGGGUAAAGAGGGAUAUUAAUCAGGUGUGGGGUCCAGGGAGAUUAAGAGAGGCCCAGGAGUGGGAAUGGAAAUCAGAGGGGGGCACCUCUGAGACUAGCUGAAGACUGGGAUGGGGGAGGCUACAGAGAGUCUAUGGGGGUGACCCUAACUGAGAUUCCUACCACCAGGGGUUAUAGAGGCUGAAGUGGCCACCUCCUGAAGCCAGGCAGGACUUCCAGUGGAAGCAGGAAGACAUUGACCCACCCACAAACACAGAAUUUAUCCUGCUUGCAUGAUGUGCAGGGUUAAAGAUGGAGCAGUGACUGAGGUAACAGCCAACCAAUGACUGGCCCAACUUGAGACCCAUCCCAUGUGAGAGAGCCAACCCCUGACACUAUUAAUGAUCUCUGCUAGGCUGGCAGACAGGAGCCUAGCAUAACUGUCUCCUGAGAGGCUUUGUCGAGCAGCGGAUGGAAACAGAUGCAGAGACCCACAGCCAACAUCAGGAGGAGCUCAGGGAGUCUUGUGGACAAGUGGGGAAUAGAAGGGAGCAACCCAAAAGGGUCAAGGACACCACAAGAAGACUUACAGAGUCAACUAACCUGGAUCCAUGGGGGCCCACAGAGACUGAACCACCAACCAAAUAGCACACAGAGGCGGGACCUAAACCCACACAGCCCCAUUUGUAGCAGAUGUGCAGCUUGGUCUUCAUGUGGGUCUCCUAACAAUUGGAGCAGGGGCUGUCUCUGACUCUGUGGCCUGCCAUUGGAUCCCCUUCCCUACCUGGUUGGGCCUCAUUGGGAAAGGAGACGCUUAGGCCUACUGGGACUAGAUCUUCCAGGGGAGGUUGGUACCCAAGGUGGAUGUAAGGGGAGGGAUAAAGAACUUGUAAGUGCAGAGCUGGGAGGAGAGGAGAGAUUGGGAUGUAAUGUGGAUAAAAAUAAACCAUGAAAGAAAGGAAAAACUUAGUGGAAACUGACUAAAUUCUAGUCAAGGAGAGAUACUUUUUUUUACACCAAAUACAUAGAAUAAAUACUUUUUUGUUUUGAAAACAAAUCUCUCCCUAAACCAGGAUGGAUUCAGCAGAAAACCGAGUCAUUAUCUUCUUAAAGCAUACGGUAUGGGUCUGGUAAGAUAUCUGAGGAGGUUAUAGUACUUGCCAACAAGCCUGAUGAUCUAAGUUUGAGUCCCAGAACCCACAUGGUGGAAAAGAGACCAUCUGAACAUUGUCCUCUGAUUCCACAUGUACUCUGUGUCACAAGUGUCACUCCUUCCCCCAAACACAUCAAUAAAGGUUUUUUGUUUUGUUUUGUUUUUAAAAGAGAUUUAGAAAGUACAAAUGAGGUAGGACAUGCUAGCUGUCUCUCUGAGACCAGCUUAGUCCACUUAGUGUGAUUAUUCUCCAUUGUACAGGUGGGCUCUAGAAUGAAUGAAUGAAUGAGUGAGUGAGUAAAUAACUCAGUAAUCUUCGGAACUGAACAUUAUUUGUAAGACAGCUUCUGCUCCUUGGUCUAUGACAGCUAUCAAAUAAAAAUAAAUAAAUUUACAAGUGAAUACAAACAUAUCCACAAUGCUAAUAGAAUUCAAAUCAGUAGUGUUAGUUUCACCUGCCUGCAUCGUGGCUCUCUGGAAGCAGUGGCUGCUUGUGCCACGAAUGUGGUAGCAACCGUUAGCACCAGAGUUUCCUCUAUGCUUCAUGAAAAGGGCUCUCCCCCGACUUUCCCACAAUGUUUUGAAUAUAUAUUUAUCGAGUACCUGCUAUCUGUCUACCACAUGGUGAAGGAUGAUGCAUAGAUGUAUUGCUUAAGGGUUUGGGAUAAAUUUUCAUAUUGUACUGUUAAGCAAUCGUGUCAUGAUAUGAAUGUCCCGGAGUCUAUGUCCAAACACACAUAGAUCAACACUGCUACAGCAUCACCCGGAGAAAUUAACCUGUCACGUCUUUGGGCAAAUAUGGUCAUGAGGUAUUGGGAAGAGAAAGUGAAGCAAACAGACUCUGAUCUCUGGGAAUUUCUAUCUGACAGUGUUCCUUUUAAGUAAACAUAUUUACAGUGCAGCCUCCACUCUCAGGCUGGAGGGAUGGCUCGGUGAGCAUACUUGUCUUUUGUCGACUGGACACAGGCUAGACUCUUGUGGUAAGAGAGAGCCUCAAUAAAGAGAAUACCUCCAUUGUGUUAUCUGGUGGGCAAGUCCAGAGUGGGAACUUUCUUGUGGGAGGUCCUAGCACACUUUGGGCUUGCCAGCCCUGGGCAAAUAGUCUUGUGUUGUACAAGAAAGCAGGCUGACUGGGCUGGAGCUCUGGAUGCUCUGCCAAGGACUCGGGUUCAAUCCCCGUCGUCCACAUGAUAACCCACAACCACCUGUAACUCUAGUUCAAGGGAACUCGUGCUCUCCUCUGGCCUCUGUAGGCACCAGACACUAAAGUGCACAGGCAAACAUGUAGUAUAACAUUCACACACAUAAAGUAAGUAAAAGCUCAAAACUUUAAAAGAAAUGCUUAAAGAAAGAAAGGCAAGCAGGUUGAGCAAGCCAUGGGGAGCAAGCUGGUAAGCAUGCUCUGUGUCUGAUCCUGCCGUGAAUUCCUGCCUCAGUUUCCCCAGAUUACGUACUGUGAGCUCUAAGUCAAUUAAACCUUCUUCCCAACUUCUUGCCAAGUUGCUUUUGGUCAGUGUUUUAUCACAGCAAUAGAGAGGCAAGCUAGGACAGUUGUAAGGUUCUCGAGGGCCUGAAUUCAAUCCCUAAAACAGAUAAGAAGAAGCAGGGCAUGGUGGUGUGUGAGUUUGUGACCCCAGAGCUGGGGAGGGAGGACAGGAGGGUCCUUAGAGAUCACCAGCCAGGCAGCCCAGCCACACUGCCACGAGUUCCAAGUUGACUGAAUGACAUGUUCAUGACACUGCCACCAUGUGAAGUCGUAGAGUGGACUUUUAUAGUUAUCAGACAAAAGACAGCCAUAAAUCAGUGCAGUUGCUGAAUAUGUUGGUGAGGACAGGGGUGAGGUGGACAAGAGCAGAGCCAUAGGUCUGAGCUGUUAUCUGAUGACAUCUUUAGCUUUGAGGACAGUGGGAGCUGAGGGUCUGUUAAAGGGAUGCAUUCCAGAGCUUUCAUUCAAUUACCAGAGAUUAGACUGGAAUACUGGGGGGUCUUUGAGAAUGACAGAGCCAGGUGAGAUUGGCUUUGAGAGUUAGGGUCCCCAAAAUCUCAAUGGCCACCAAAGCCACCCUUAGCCAAUGGCUUCCAGGUUCUCGUCUCACAAAUCUAAAGCAUGAAAUUGAUGAUCCAUGGAGGGUGAGCUGUGACCUUAUAAGGAAGUCUGUUAAAGAUACAUAGGUAGGGGCUCAAGAUUGUGUGUGUGUGUAAGAGAGAGACAGUGAGGGAAGAGGAGAGGGGUAGGGAAGGGGGAAGAAAGAGACAGAGAGAAAGAGAGAGAAUGAAUACUAAAAUAUUCACAG
rnacentral:lncRNA from 1 species